CACUUUAAGAAAUUGAAGCAAAAAUGAUGACAUAAUAGGCUUUGUUGAUCUGGACUGUGUGACUCAUGACUGGCCACACUGAUGAACUCUGCUAUAGUUUGACAAUGGUCAUUGCUCUCAAAAAUACCUCCCUAAGGGCCGCUCUCUGAAAACAGACAGGACAAGGGAAGCCAGUGUUCCUGAGUCCUGGUUAUGAACCUCUUAUCCAGUCAACCCAGAGUUGUCCCACCAGGCACAAUGCUAUGCUAGCUCUGCUGCAUGAAAAUGAACUAAUACAGAGAGCCUGAGCAUGCUUUUGUGAAUGGGGCCAAUGUCUUCACCAGCUCUCACUGCCAGGAGGCAGUUUGAUCUUUGGAAAAUGUGAAGAAAUAGAUCACAGGUUGAAAGGAUGGCCAUGUGCUACAAAUGAAAACUACAAAACAGUCAACUCUCAGACCUUCCCGUGAGGUUGGUCAAUGUCGAGGAUGAGAAGGAAUGGCUUGGCAUCCAGACCAACAACCGAAGUCAGCAAGAGUUGGAAAACUUAAUUGGUCAUCAGCCUGUCUAUUAUCUGUGAAUUUGCCUGUCACGCUCCUCUGGCUGCCUUUCCUUAUUCAUUUACAGGAGUGACCAAGUUCCUGGAUGUGGCUGCUCUUCCACUGUUGAAUUCUUCUAGGCUUUGCAUAACUACAAAAAUUCAUGGAGCGAUUUCCUGUACUAAGACUGCUUGGAAAAUUUAUGGACUAUUUUAGAAAAACAUUCUGGCUUUUUUCUAAAUAAGAAGAAAAUACCAGAAUGAUUAAUCCAGGUGAAGUCUCACAUAAUCUGUGAAUGAACUCUUUCCCAUUUCUCUUUUAUUUGGUAGUAAUGUGGACUUGUUGAUAACAUGAAUUCAAGUCUGGAUUCCUCUUGCAUUCGGCCACAAAUAUUCUCUCCUAAAUAAAAGGUUAUGAUGGAGUCA
rnacentral:lncRNA from 13 species